rnacentral:rRNA from 1 species
AAGAGGGCGUGGAGGAAACCAAGCCUAGAUUCUAAUAUCCUAAGUCUGAGCAUUAGUAUCUGAACUCUGGUAUCUGGCGUCUGAUGUCUGGUCUAGUGGCGGACGGGUGAGUAACGCGUGAGCAACCUGCCUUACAGAGGGGGAUAACAUUCGGAAACAAAUGCUAAUACCGCAUAACAUAUAUUUACGGCAUCGUAGAUAUAUCAAAGGAGCAAUCCGCUGUAAGAUGGGCUCGCGUCCGAUUAGAUAGUUGGUGAGGUAAUGGCUCACCAAGUCUGCGAUCGGUAGCCGGACUGAGAGGUUGAACGGCCACAUUGGGACUGAGACACGGCCCAGACUCCUACGGGAGGCAGCAGUGGGGGAUAUUGCACAAUGGGCGAAAGCCUGAUGCAGCAACGCCGCGUGAGGGAAGACGGUCUUCGGAUUGUAAACCUUUAACUUUGGAGAAGAAAGAAAUGACGGUAUCCAAAGGGGCAGCCACGGCUAACUACGUG